rnacentral:rRNA from 1 species
UACGUAGGGGGCAAGCGUUGUCCGGAUUUAUUGGGCGUAAAGAGCGUGUAGGCGGCCAAACAGGUCCACUGUGAAAACUCGAGGCUCAACCUCGAGAGGUCGGUGGAAACCGUAUGGCUAGAGUCCGGAAGAGGAGAGUGGAAUUCCCGGUGUAGCGGUGAAAUGCGUAGAUAUCGUAAGGAAGACCAGUGGCGAAGGCGGGUCUCUGGACAGUUCCUGACGCUGAGGCACGAAGGUCAGGGGAGCAAACGGG